AGUUAUACCCCCACAAACGAAGUUUAGGGGGGGUAUAUAGGAGUCAGCUUGUCGGUCGGUCGGUCGGUCGGUCGGUCCACAUCAUGGUUUCCGGACGAUAACUAGAGUUUGGAAUGAGGUAUUGUAAUCAAACUUGGUAUAUAGCAACCUUAUGUGAAAACUCCGGUUGGUAUUGCAUUUGGACCCCCUGGGGUCAAGGUCACCGUUACUAAAAAUAGAAAAAUGGUUUCCGGACAAUAACUAGAGUUAGGAAUGAGAUAUUGUUAUCAAACUUGGUGUAUAGCAAGCUUAUAUGAAGACCUGGGUUGGUAUUGCAUUUGGACCCCCUUGGGUCAAGGUCAAGGUCACCGUUACUAAAAAUAGAAAAAUGGUUUCCGGACAAUAACUUGAGUUAGGAAUGAGAUAUUGUAAUCAAAAUUGGUGUAUAGCAAGCUUAUAUGAAGACCUGGGUUGGUAUUGUUUUUGGACCCCCUGGGGUCAAGGUCAAGGUCACCGUUACUAAAAAUAGAAAAAUGGUUUCCGGACAAUAACUUGAGUUAGGAAUGAGAUAUUGUAAUCAAAAUUGGUGUAUAGCAAGCUUAUAUGAAGACCUGGGUUGGUAUUGUUUUUGGACCCCCUGGGGUCAAGGUCAAGGUCACCGUUACUAAAAAUAGAAAAAUGGUUUCCGGACAAUAACUAGAGUUAGGAAUGAGAUAUUGUUAUCAAACUUGGUG